UGCGCCCGAUUAGCUAGUUGGUGGGGUAACGGCCUACCAAGGCGAUGAUCGGUCGCUGGUCUGAGAGGACGGCCAGCCACACGGGGACUGAGACACGGCCCCGACUCCUACGGGAGGCAGCAGCAAGGAAUUUUCCGCAAUGGGGGAAACCCUGACGGAGCAACGCCGCGUGGGGGAGGACGCCUUUCGGGGUGUAAACCCCUUUUCUCGGGGACGACGACCGACGGUACCCGAGGAAGAAGGCCCGGCUAACUACGUGCCAGCAGCCGCGGUAAUACGUAGGGGCCGAGCGUUGUCCGGAAUUACUGGGCGUGAAGCGCGCGCAGGCGGCUGUCCGCGCCCGGCGUGAAAGCCCCCGGCUCAACCGGGGAGAGUCGUCGGGGACGGGACAGCUUGAGGGCGGGAGGGGUUGGUGGAAUUCCCGGUGUAGUGGUGAAAUGCGUAGAGAUCGGGAGGAACACCUGUGGCGAAGGCGGCCAACUGGCCCGACCCUGACGCUGAGGCGCGAAGGCGUGGGGAGCGAACGGGAUUAGAUACCCCGGUAGUCCACGCAGUAAACGAUGCAGACUAGGCGUGGGGGGACUUGACCCCCUCCGUGCCGGAGCUAACGCGGGAAGUCUGCCGCCUGGGGAGUACGGCCGCAAGGCUAAAACUCAAAGGAAUUGACGGGGGCCCGCACAAGCGGCGGAGCGUGCGGUUUAAUUCGACGCGACGCGCAAAACCUUA
rnacentral:rRNA from 1 species